rnacentral:rRNA from 1 species
GUGAGACAGUUUGGUCCCUAUCUGCAGUGGGCGUUGGAAGUUUGACGGGGGCUGCUCCUAGUACGAGAGGACCGGAGUGGACGAACCUCUGGUGUACCGGUUGUAACGCCAGUUGCAUAGCCGGGUAGCUAAGUUCGGAAGAGAUAAGCGCUGAAAGCAUCUAAGCGCGAAACUCGCCUGAAGAUGAGACUUCCCUUGUGGUUUAACCACACUAAAGAGUCGUUCGAGACCAGGACGUUGAUAGGUGGGGUGUGGAAGCGCGGUAACGCGUGAAGCUAACCCAUACUAAUUGCUCGUGAGGCUUGACUCU